UACGUAGGGUGCGAGCGUUAAUCGGAAUUACUGGGCGUAAAGCGUGCGCAGGCGGUUCGUUGUGUCGGCGGUGAAAGCCCCGGGCUUAACCUGGGAAUGGCCGUUGAAACUGGCGAACUGGAGUGUGGCAGAGGGGGGGUGGAAUUCCGCGUGUAGCAGUGAAAUGCGUAGAGAUGCGGAGGAACACCGAUGGCGAAGGCAGCCCCCUGGGCUGACACUGACGCUCAGGCACGAAAGCGUGGGGGAGCAAACAGG
rnacentral:rRNA from 1 species